GUGGGUGUAGCUCAGUUGGUUUAGAGCGCCACUUUGUGGAAGUGGAAGUCGCGAGUUCAAGUCUCGUCACCCACC
rnacentral:tRNA from 2 species